rnacentral:lncRNA from 1 species
AAUCUGGGACCCCGAGCCAGGCCUGUCCCAAGUCCUCCCGGGCCCGCCAGCCCGCGGCCCCUUACCUUGGCCUGGCAUUUCCGAUGACAGGAGAAGCUGCAGACUGCAAGAGGGCGAGACACAGAAAGAAAGUUUUAGCCGCGAGGCUGGAGUGCAAUGGCGCAAUCUCGGCUCACCACAACCUCCGCCUCCCAGGUUCAAGCAAUUCUCCUGCCUCAGCCUCCCAAGUAGCUGGGAUUACAGGCACGCACCACCAUGCCCGGGUAAGGGGCUGGCUCUCAGCACCAGGACCUGGCACAGCAUCUGACCCAGAGGACAGCUCAGUUCAUGAUUGCCAGAUGGCUGCACGCAGCGCGGAGGAGAGCCCCCUGGGUCUGAAAUAGAGGCUGGAGAGGAGGACUGUGAGUCCAGAGGAGGGAGAGUGAUGGUAUCCCACACACAAGCCAGCGUGUCUAGGACUCCUAUCUGAAGACACUGCAGAGGUGAGUCCUGAGUGACAGAGACUAAGCCAUAGAAAGACAGAGAGAAAAACAGACAAAAUGAGACCGAGUCAGAGGCAGAAAGCCAGAGAGGCA